rnacentral:lncRNA from 1 species
CUCGUUAGCCUUUUACUGUAACGGAAAAGGAAAGCAUGCUUGUUACACUUACCCAUGGUUACCUGAAAUGUGAUUGAAGCUUCAAAUUUCUCCUGGACACCAUAUAUGCACGGUUUCGGCGAUAAAGUGUAUCGAAAGGUAUAGUAGGUAUUCCUAUGGACACUAAUUGUUCCCCUCUUUAAUAGCAGAUUUAUUUCUGUAUAGCUAUGAAUCUCAGUUUAUGACCAAACUCAAAAGACAAGCCAUUGUUACAUUUGGUUGAAACAUGCAACAAUACCUAGCGUUAUCUUGAUGAUGUGUUUUAAAAACGUUUAAAAACCAGAGUUCUCUAGAUAUACUACCGAAAUUUACCCAAAGGAUUUUACUUUUAAGAAAUAUAAGAUAAACAGCAGUAUAGUUGUCCAUUUCUAGAUUUAGACAUUCCUCUGAAACCAC